AUAUUGCACAAUGGGCGAAAGCCUGAUGCAGCGACGCCGCGUGCGGGAUGACGGCCUACGGGUUGUAAACCGCUUUCAGCUCUGACGAAGCUUUUGUGACGGUAGGAGCAGAAGAAGCUCCGGCUAACUACGUGCCAGCAGCCACGGUAAUACGUAGGGUGCGAGCGUUGUCCGGAAUUAUUGGGCGUAAAGAGCUUGUAGGCGGCUCGUCGCGUCUGCUGUGAAAGCCCGGGGCUUAACCCCGGGUCUGCAGUGGGUACGGGCAGGCUAGAGUAUGGUAGGGGAGACUGGAAUUCCUGGUGUAGCGGUGGAAUGCGCAGAUAUCAGGAGGAACACCGAUGGCGAAGGCAGGUCUCUGGGCCAUAACUGACGCUGAGAAGCGAAAGCGUGGGGAGCGUAC
rnacentral:rRNA from 1 species